UACGUAGGGUGCAAGCGUUAAUCGGAAUUACUGGGCGUAAAGCGUGCGCAGGCGGUUUUGUAAGUCUGAUGUGAAAUCCCCGGGCUCAACCUGGGAAUUGCAUUGGAGACUGCAAGGCUAGAAUCUGGCAGAGGGGGGUAGAAUUCCACGUGUAGCAGUGAAAUGCGUAGAGAUGUGGAGGAACACCGAUGGCGAAGGCAGCCCCCUGGGUCAAGAUUGACGCUCAUGCACGAAAGAGUGGGGAGCAAACAGG
rnacentral:rRNA from 1 species